CUUCAGCUAUACCCGCAAGUCCUAGUCCCACCCCCGCUACCCCGUGUCCUGGGGACCGGGUCAAGAUGUGCGUAGGUGCUGGGAGGUAGACACCCCUCCUUCCUAGCCCCAGGCGUCACCCACGCCCAGGCCAGCACUGGAUCUUCCACUUACCUAACCUCCCCUCUCCCAAGUCCCAAGGCCACCCCCUGUGCCCCUCCUGAGAGCGGGUGACAAGCUGCUGAGACAGUGUCUGAUUCACCGACAGCUGAACCAGCUAUGCGUACUCGGAGGUUUGCACUAUAAGAAAUGCUAAAGAAAACUCUUCAAGAUGAAAGAAAAUGAAACCUGAUGGAGACUCAGAUCUUUGGGAAGGAAUGAAGAGCAUCAUAUAUGGAGAGCAUCACCUUGUGGUCAGUGAGUUCAAACUCCCGGGCUCUGCUACCGAUGGAGACAGUCUGUUGUCGACCUUGAGCGACUUUCACAUUCUCUCUGGAUGCCUGUUUCCUUGCUUGUGAAUAAACCAGGAGCAGACCAGAGUGAAAGUGGGAGACCAAUUCAGAGGCAAUUUCAGUGGUCCAGGUGGGAGAGGAUGGAGACCUGGACAAGAUGAUGGCAGAUGGAGAUGGAGAGAAGAGCAAGCAACUGUUCAAGGUACCACUCAGGAAGAUGAGCAAAUCGAGGAAGUCCCUCUGGCCUAAAAAUUCUAUCAACUUGCCCAGGAAAUGAAGGCCUGAGAAUUGCACCAGGUGCUCGCUGGCCUCCUAGAUGCAUCUCAGACUCUGCAUGGGCCAGAAAUGAGUAAUGUAUAACCCCCAAGGGUGACAUAAGAUCUCCCACCCAAUUCUGUUCUUCUGGGUAUUUAGGGAAGAGCAAUAUCCAGGGCAAGGUGAUGGUACUUCGCUCCACGGGACAGAAAUUUAGCAUCAACUGGAGAGUUGAAUCUAGAGGGUGGUCUGGGAGGCUGGGUAGAAUUGGAUUGAUUAUUAGGAGAAAAUUCGAAUAAUAUCAUUUAAGUACACACACAUUCUGAAUUAAAUACACAUUUGUGGAUCCCUGUACUUCUUAAUAAAAGGACACUUAGUUCCAAGUUCUCGUUAAGAAGCUGAUAAGCAUCCAUUUUCUUCUAUUCCGACAAUGAUUAUUCCUCAACUCUAUAAAAUUUACAAACUGCUUCGGAAGCAUUGGUGGAGAAAGGUGCUGUAUGAAUAUAUGAGAUUAUUGAAAUAAAUGCUGAUUUAGAGAUUUCCCAGGUGGAGAGUUAAAAUAUACUGGGGCACAUGCACUCACUCUCACCCCACCCUCAGGGUACUUUCCGCUCUGAUCAGCGGAGAUAAAUUUUCCGACCUGACAGUUGACUGUAAAUCAAGAAGUGUGUUUUAAUAGUCACCACCUUUCUGCUUCUGUGUGCUGCUGUCUGAGGCAAUCCUUCACCUCCCGGGACACAAGACCUGAAGGAUUUUGGCACAUUCUCUCCCCUGCACGUGGAGAGGUGGUGCUUAGCAGCAAGGUAAAUAUUGGCAGGCUUGUAGGCGAGCAGUGAAUAUAAAUAAGUCAGGACAUCCUUAGAAAAGUUCAUCUCUGGAUCCACCGUUCUUUUUGCCAAUAGGUAAGAAAAUAGAAAAUCAUGAGUUUCUCAGGUUUUUGCCAAAUCACAACAAGAUAUUUUUGUAACAAUAUAAAAGCUAGAAAGUAUUUGAGAGUCAGUAAAUGCUGAAUAAAUAAUUCUGAAGGUGAACACAUGCCCUUAUUGCCACAAGCCCUGAUUACUGGGUUGGAUUACUACACUUGCUCCUCCUGACUUUAUCCCUCAUAAUCCUGUCCAUCAACGUUUGCUUGGAGUAACGCAAAUAAACCAGGCUGUUCCAUGCCCCAGUGUCUUUGCACCUGCUGCUGUUUAUGCCCGGACUGGAACCCUUUCCAUUAAUCCACGUGGGCCAGGGACAUUUUCUGAUCUUUCAACACUUGGUACCAGGAUCACCUUUAAUUUGCUUUAUGAAGCUUUUCUUGACAAACUCUCUCACUCCCAGACCUGCCACUUCAUCCUGUACAAAUGUGAUUGCACAUGUCUAUUUAACACAAACAUCACUGGCCUCUCUUGGCAAGUCUCUGCUCAUAUCCUGUACUCCCUCUGAGGCCAUAAUCAACACUUCAUUGCUACCCAGUUGCCCUUUGUGACUUCUCAAGCCUCUUCCCAAAGCAUUUUGAGUAAUGUAGCUUUUACUGAAAUGUUCACAAGGGAGAAAAGUGGAGGGCUUACACUGAACACCAUGUGGCCAAACUUCAUAAAAAUCUCCAUCAUUCCAAAAGCCUGUUCUCCUUUUGCCAGCUGCCUUCUCUCCUCUGUCUCUUCCAUUCUCUGCUCUCCUCUAACCUCCUUUCACCCUUGGAUCCCUCAACACGGCCACAAUCCCAGCUCACAAUCCAGCCCUUUCAGCCCUUUCUCCUUCAUUAACUUGUGUCCUUGAAGUUUUAGGUCCUAUUCAUCAAACAAAGUAUCUCUGUGAGAUCACUCCCCUUUAAAAGGCAAGGGUCACAAAAUCUCCACAUUUCUUCUCCUUCCACUAAAGACUGGAGCAACUUGAGGGUAGGAAUCAAGCCCUAUACACUUUUGCAUCUCUUCUGCAAAAUAUUUAAAAUAUUGUGAAAUGGAAGAAGAAAUAAAUGAAAAAAUAUAGCCACAGGUUAAAAUCCCCAAAGCCCCACUCUAAUCACAGUUUUCUUCUGUUUGAAGAUCUUCCUUACCUCGUGAACUCAUGCUUUGGUCAUCUGCCAUUUCUCCCUGACUCUAGCACUCUGCCCCGCCAUGAUGGGCCCUCUCCACUCCAGCCCACUGGGCGUGUUCUUGCCCUCAGGUGCUCAUUCGGGUUGUCUCUCCAGGCCUAGAAUAAUCUAUGUCAUUCAUGAGGAUGGUUGGCGGUGGUUUACCAUCACCCUAUUGGAGGCCAAGGUAGACGCAACUGUUCUGGUUUCGUAGGUCCGUCCUAACCCUUCCCAGUCUUCAAGGCUCAGUGCGGGUCUUUGCUUCCUCAGCAGACUUCAUGGAGGUCUGCAGUCCAGGCGUAAUGCUCUCUCUCAUGUCCUUAGGACAUAAGCCUUGAACACAUCCACUCUGAUGGCACUUAAUCAUUCAGCCUUAUAUCAUUGUUAAAUUUGGGGUAUGAGGCCUUGAGGUCAUCCUCUUUCCAAAAUGUGGUCAUCAUUAGGUCUGUUCACCAAAAUUUUAGGUGUUUUCCUCAUUUCUAGACUUGUGGUAAGUUUGUACUUGUCUAACCCCUUGAAGCUAUGUGUGGCUGUCUAAUUGACUCUGGCUAAUGACAUGUGAACAGAAUUGACAUAAGCCCCUUUGGGAAAUAAGCUUUCAGAGGAAGAGUGAUGGAUCAUGCUGUCUUUCCCUCUGACAUGGCGACUGGCAGUGUUUGAGGCAUCUGGUGGAUUGUCCAUCAGCCUGGGUCUGUGAAUGAGGACCCAGCGAUUCACAUGGGCAUUUGGUAUGAGCAAGAAGUAAACCUUUGUUAUGUUAUGCCAUUUAGAUUCAGAGAUUAUUUGAACAAUUAAUAACAUAAAUAAAUAAAUGUGUGUUGCUGCAGCACAACCAAUCCUAUCCAGACAGACUCUAAGUUCCCUGAAGGCAGCACUCAGGUAUAACUCACCUUUCUGUCCCCCAGAGAACAUAGCACAAUGCCUCACGGAUGUUCGAGAACUACUGCUGAUUGAUUAGACAUACUGUGAUAAGGUAAAAUAUAUGAGACUAGAGAGUAGUACUUGGUGUCAGGACUUCAACUUGAGACUUAGCCUCUAAAAAACCAAAAUAAAUGUACGUGAUGAUUUCAGUAGUAUUCCAAUAAGAUCGUUGCAUACAGGGAGGCAGAAGAGUGUAAUGCAAGGAACCUGGGCUCUCUAGCUUGAUAGACCUGGUUCAAGUGCAAGCUUUACCAGGUACUUGGCUGCAUGACCUUGGGCUGGUUAUUUAAGGUCUUUGAGGCUGGGAGAACAUCACUACUUACUAGGAAGGAUUAUUGUGGGGAUUAAACAAGAGAAUGUAUGUAAAGCCCUUGGCACAUAAUGAAUGGUCAACAAACGUCAUUCUCUUAGGCUCUCCUCCCACCAACUGCGUGUGGGUUGGUAUGAACUCUUGCUUAAUUCUCUGGGAACUACUUCCCUUCAUUUACACCCUCUGAGACCUUGGUUGCUCGCCUAGUCCCUGGAUUUCUUUAGCUUGGCCUACCUCAGAUCCUUAGGAUUUUGCUUUCCCUACCCCAUGCACACUCUGGCCUUCUGAGAAAUUCCAUAUGCAAAUGGUCACAGUUGACAGGAGCCCUUGGCAAAGGACUGCAAUGGGGGAAAAGGGUUCUUGAGACAGACUGUCUGCUGCCCCAAAUUUAAAAUAGGGCCCUUGGUAAGGUGUGUAUAGUCAGGGAGGUGAUCUCUAUGGGGAAGAAAGAAUUUAAGAUGUCAUGGUGACCAGUUCCAAGGAAGCCCCACCUUGGCCUGUGCCCUGGCUCUAAUGGCGGGGGGUUCUUCUCUUGAAUCCUGGGAUUGUAUCAGUGAUGGUCGCAGAGAGGUCUGUGAGAUUAUCUUCAAUGACUGACUCCUUCCACAGACUGGGUCUUGGUGUGGGGCCCGAGGGCUUAUGUUUUCUUGGACUCCUGGCCCAGUGAACUGUGUGUUUACAGGUUUACAAUUGUCCCUGACUGAGUCCUUGAGGCCACCUCCCCCCUUCCCCUCCCCAUGGAGCGCAACCGUGAUGUGGCAUAUCUAACCACCCCAAGGUGCUUGUGUAACUUGUUUUUCAAAGUCUUGGCAGGAGCUCCGGUCCUGAAGUGAGAAAGGGUGUUUACAUUCUGGAAGAGCAGUGCCGACAAAUGUCUUGCAUCAGGGCUGUUCUCCACCAAUCUCUGCUUCCCAGUUUUCUUCUCUGUGGGAUGGCUUGUGACAGCCACAGAGAUAGUCUGGGACCUGGAAGAAACGAGCCUGAACGUGAAAGCAGGUAGGCUGUGAGGCGGCCCUCAUGAAGCUUCAGGGCUAUGUAAACCGCCCUCCCUGGAAAGGUGAGGAGCUUCUUGAGGAUGAGGCGUUUGCUGCCCCACUGCCUGGUGCGGGGCCUCACACAGAGCGCAGCGCUGCCUGCAGGCGCUCAACAGACACGCGCUAAGUCAGUACACGGUGAAAAUACGUGGGAAGGCAACAUUUGAGAGGACACAUUGGGAACUGACACCCCAGUUAACAGCUUUCUUGGAACAGUACUUACAGUAAUAACAACAACGGUUAUUGGUUAUACCUCCUCUAUGCCAAGCAAAGGCGUAUAUUAUUUCCUUAAAUUCUACCAUAGUCAAUAGUUCUAGCAAGACGUAGUCCUCUCUCCAGUGAAUAGCGGAGGGCACGGAGACUCAUGGGCAGAGUCUGAGCAUCUCACCGGAGGUCACGGAGACAGUAAACCCGAAUUCCGAGCCCCUUGGGUGCACGGAAGCCAGUGCUUUUCCGCUUCCGGUUCCUCCACACCGCCCCUCACCCCUGCUGUCUCUGCCUCGUGAAACAACGGUAGGGCAGCUGUCCGUUCUUUUCGUCAUUUCUUCCUCUAGCAAAUAGGCGUGAAUUCAGCACGGAAAGAGCACUGGGGCGGCAGCCCCAUUCCAGAUGUCUGCUUUGUCAUCCUUAAGAACACCCGCCCGUGUUCAAGGCCUUCUAGUACCUCAGUCUCGCAACCCUCCCUGGAGAGCGCCCUCCCCUCCCCUCCUCCCUUCCUCCCUCCCUUCCUCGUGGCCACUCAAGGCUUCCUUCUUUUCUUCUUCUGCCUGGCAUCAAGGCCAGGUUUUCACUUCACUAGAAAAACCUUGCUACAGGUGUUAUUCUGUGGACAGUCCCUGGCACUCAAAUGUGCACUCAAUAAAUAUUUACUGAAUUGCACGCUAAAUUCUAGACAAAAGAAGAAAAGAGUGGAUCCAGAAGAAAAUUGAAAAGCUUCGGGAGUGGGGGAGUGAGUGCAAUAACCAACUCUCUUUCCUUCCCCCUGCCCGCCCCCCUCCCUUAGGAGGGAGGCAGCGGCACAGUCAGUGUUAAGGCUGUCAUUUGAUUACAGUAACAUCCAAACAGAUUGAAAAGCUCCCAUCAAUGCCGGAGCAGAAGUGCACACGCAGGGGGUUGUUUCCUUGGAAAUGUUUCAGCUGUGAUUACUUUCCAAAGAGAAAUAGCCAAAACACUUCCUUGACCCUCUGGGGAGAAGAAGUCACAAUUGGACAGAAAGUCAUUUCUGUGGCCUUUCGUUCGUGUGUGUGUGUGUGUGUGUGUGUGUGUGUGUGUGUGUGUGGCGCAUGCGCGUGCCGCUGCACCUUUGGCGUGUACUGUCCGUAGGGCGCCUUUGACAGCCGGUCUAUUCAAAGGCUGGGGCCGUGGGUUGGCGGCUCGGUGCCUGCCGCCGCGGUGGCUGAGAUCAUGCUGUUGAUUUUAUUUUACAGAGAGCAGCCCGGCCUGUUGUGCAGAGUACAGAAUGUUCUCUUCUGUGAACUGAGCUUGAACUUUUCCAACCCACUUUGUUUGGGGAACCAUACAGACACAGAGGGGAAAAGAUAGGGAAGAUAACCCCCAAAUGGUUGAAAUCAUUGUGUUCUCUCUGAUUUUGGCACAGAUCGUUUGCUUUUCACUGCUCCAAAUUAAAAAUCCCAAGCAUUACAGUUCUUGGAAAAAUGGAAUGCCUGUGAUGUCUUUUCUCUAACUCAGGGCUCUGGCUUUGACUUUGGAAAUUAACAAGUCGGUCACUGUCACUCCUCAAUUUCCUUUUUUUUUUUCUCCUAGGCAUUCAAGGGACAGGGACAACAAAAGCUGUUUCCCUAUAAGGAAAAGAAAAGGUUCCCAGUGCCUGUGACUUCUCUCCCAGUUGUUCAGGCUGUCACAACAUUACAAAUAGUGUUCCCCAAUUUGCCAUAUGGCCUGAGAUUUCAUAAUGAGGGCUUUGGGUCUUUGGCCUUCAUAUACAUCACCAACAUGAGAAGCUGCCAAUGCUUGCAGUGGAUUCCUUUCUUUAUACGAAAACGUACCAAAAACUCGCUAGUGAAGCAGGAAGAGCACAACUUUGUGGGAGCGGAGCUGGGAAUCUGAAGUGUGAGCGCUGGAUUUGAGUCUCCUAAGCAUGGGUAGCUGAUGACCACAGGAAGGAUCCGUGAGAAAGGCCAGAGAGUGGAAACUGAAACUGACUGACAACAGACUGGAAAGAGAGAGUCUGGAGCCGGGAUUAAGGGACUGUGGUUUCUGCAAGUCCGCUGUCCGUCUAGGGGUUGGCAUCUUCCAGGAGAGGCUAGAGCUUGUGAGUCUCAGCUCAGCCUGAGGACCCAUGGAGAAGAACGUAAUUCCAGCUCCAAAGGCCUCUCUUGCACAGAAGAAUUUUUAGCGUUGAGAGGAAGUCUAGAUGAGAAAUGCUGAGGCCAAGAGAGAGAACUUGCCCAUGAUCAUACAGCCAGUAAAUGGGGAAGCUGAGAUUCAAACUCAGUCAGUCGGCUUGCGGAAUUGUGACAAUAAGCUGUAUCUUCUGGGUCUGGCUGGGCCCCUGCCAUCCCUGUCAGUUCCUGUGUAUCUCUUAGCAAGGACUGGUCUUUUCUCAUGGUGCUCUGUUCCUUCUCCCAGUGGACCCUUGGUGCAUUUAAAAGUUUCAUGAAUAUAACCAAAUAUCUGACGUGUUCAGGAAGUAGAGGCAGGAAAAGAGAAAGGAGAGGGAAAAGUAAGGCGGCAGUGGGGUGGGUUGAGGAAUGUGCUUUUGAGGCUGGGCUGGAGCAGGCAGUGUGAAGGGGUAGAGUGCUGCUCCUCAUCACCAUUACCUGGCAACAGCGUCUGGACCACCUCUGCUUCCAUCUUCACCCCUGACAAUCCAUCCACCCUCCACAUGUCCACUAGGCUUAUCUUUCCAAAGCAGCACUGUCCUCAUCACUCCCCUAGUUCGUGCUUCCUGCUGACAUAUCUGACUUUUCCUGUCCCCAACUGAACUCUUCCUCUCUCCCUCAACGCCAACUCCCCCUUCCCGCCCCACCCACCGUCUGCUCUUCAGAUGGCCAUUCCAGACUCGCAGUUGGCCCCACCCUCCCUUCCCCACUCCUGUCCCACUAUUUCCCCACAUGAAGCUCAGCCUGGCAAGUUUUCUGUCUGUCCCUGCAAGCAUGGGGCUUGUCUGAUCUCAGCGCCUUCGCCCAUGUUGUGUCCCUGCCUGGAAUGCACCCAUCCUCCACCCCCUCUCUAUACCUACUCAUCCUUCAGACCCAGUUCAGGGCUUGCCUCUACCCUGAUAGCUUCCUCUGAUCUCUUCCUUUAUCUUUGCAAAUCUGCUUUUGCAUCAUCCCUUUAGGAAUAUCACCAAAUACUGUAGAGUAUUUAAAUGGUUCAUGUUUAUACCCUCAACCAGAUUCAUUCAUUCAUUUUGAAACUAUUUAUUGAAUUGCCUGUUAAGUUGCAGACACAGGAAGUUCAAUGACAAUGAAAGCAGAAGAGGUGUUAUAACUCCAGGAUCCACAAACAGGGCCAGAACAGUGUGGUGGAGGGCUAUUGUUCUUUUUUUUUUUUUCUUUUAAAGAUUGGCAGCUGAGCUAACAUCUGUUGCUAAUCUUCCUCUUUUUUUUCUUCUUCUUCUUCUCUCCAAAUCCCUCCAGUACAUAGUUGUGUAUUCUAGUUGUAGGUCCUUCUGGUUGUGUUAUGUGGGACACCCCCUCAGCAUGGCCUGAUGAGCGGUGCCAUGUCUGUGUCCAGGAUCUGAACCGGUGAAACCCUGGGCCACCAAAGCAGAGCGUGCAAACUUAACUACUUGGCCACGGCGUCGGCCCUAGGGCUAUUGCUUUUAACACCCAGCUUCUGUUCACCUUCUAGAAAACGCCUGAAUUUUGAGGGGUCAUCCUCUGAUGUACUAGUUCAUGUUGUAUGAGCAGGGCUGACCUCCCCACCUUGAAUGGAGUGGGCGUGUGACAGAGGCCUGGCCAGUGAGAGACCUGCAUUCCCCUGGUCACAGAUAUAGGUUCAGAGGUGGGUACAUCAUUCUGGCUAGGCCAAUGGCAGUCAGCCCUAGGUUCUUGCUAGAACUAUCUGGGGAUGCCAAGCCGGUGGAACGUGAGCUAGGAUCUUCUGGAAAUUAUUAUUGCCUCCACUGGAGAAGGCCUGUCUGAAGAUGAAGCCAACAUGAAGGAAAUCAGAGUUGAGGGUUGGAAAGCAAC
rnacentral:lncRNA from 1 species